rnacentral:rRNA from 1 species
UACGUAGGGAGCAAGCGUUGUCCGGAAUCAUUGGGCGUAAAGCGCGUGUAGGCGGCUCGAUAAGUCCGCUCUGAAAGCCCGGGGCUCAACCCCGGGAGGCGGGCGGAAACUGUCGGGCUAGAGUCCGGAAGAGGCGAGUGGAAUUCCCGGUGUAGCGGUGAAAUGCGCAGAUAUCAGGAGGAACACCAAUGGCGAAGGCAGCUCGCUGGGACGUGACUGACGCUGAGACGCGAAAGCGUGGGGAGCAAACAGG